rnacentral:rRNA from 1 species
GACGAACGCUGGCGGCGUGCUUAACACAUGCAAGUCGAACGGAAAGGCCCUGCUUUUGUGGGGUGCUCGAGUGGCGAACGGGUGAGUAACACGUGAGUAACCUGCCCUUGACUUUGGGAUAACUUCAGGAAACUGGGGCUAAUACCGGAUAGGAGCUCCUGCUGCAUGGUGGGGGUUGGAAAGUUUCGGCGGUUGGGGAUGGACUCGCGGCUUAUCAGCUUGUUGGUGGGGUAGUGGCUUACCAAGGCUUUGACGGGUAGCCGGCCUGAGAGGGUGACCGGCCACAUUGGGACUGAGAUACGGCCCAGACUCCUACGGGAGGCAGCAGUGGGGAAUAUUGCACAAUGGGCGGAAGCCUGAUGCAGCAACGCCGCGUGCGGGAUGACGGCCUUCGGGUUGUAAACUGCUUUCGCCUGUGACGAAGCGUGAGUGACGGUAAUGGGUAAAGAAGCACCGGCUAACUACGUGCCAGCAGCCGCGGUGAUACGUAGGGUGCGAGCGUUGUCCGGAUUUAUUGGGCGUAAAGGGCUCGUAGGUGGUUGAUCGCGUCGGAAGUGUAAUCUUGGGGCUUAACCCUGAGCGUGCUUUCGAUACGGGUUGACUUGAGGAAGGUAGGGGAGAAUGGAAUUCCUGGUGGAGCGGUGGAAUGCGCAGAUAUCAGGAGGAACACCAGUGGCGAAGGCGGUUCUCUGGGCCUUUCCUGACGCUGAGGAGCGAAAGCGUGGGGAGCGAACAGGCUUAGAUACCCUGGUAGUCCACGCUGUAAACGGUGGGUACUAGGUGUGGGGUCCAUUCCACGGGUUCCGUGCCGUAGCUAACGCUUUAAGUACCCCGCCUGGGGAGUACGGCCGCAAGGCUAAAACUCAAAGGAAUUGACGGGGCCCCGCACAAGCGGCGGAGCAUGCGGAUUAAUUCGAUGCAACGCGUAGAACCUUACCUGGGUUUGACAUGGAUCGGGAGUGCUCAGAGAUGGGUGUGCCUCUUUUGGGGUCGGUUCACAGGUGGUGCAUGCCUGUCGUCAGCUCGUGUCGUGAGAUGUUGGGUUAAGUCCCGCAACGAGCGCAACCCUUGUUCACUGUUGCCAGCACGUUAUGGUGGGGACUCAGUGGAGACCGCCGGGGUCAACUCGGAGGAAGGUGGGGAUGACGUCAAGUCAUCAUGCCCCUUAUGUCCAGGGCUUCACGCAUGCUACAAUGGCUGGUACAGAGAGUGGCGAGCCUGUGAGGGUGAGCGAAUCUCGGAAAGCCGGUCUCAGUUCGGAUUGGGGUCUGCAACUCGACCUCAUGAAGUCGGAGUCGCUAGUAAUCGCAGAUCAGCAACGCUGCGGUGAAUACGUUCCCGGG